rnacentral:rRNA from 1 species
UCGAACGGCAGCGCGGGGCAACCUGGCGGCGAGUGGCGAACGGGUGAGUAAUAUAUCGGAACGUGCCCUGGAGUGGGGGAUAACGCAGCGAAAGUUGCGCUAAUACCGCAUACGAUCUAAGGAUGAAAGCGGGGGAUUCGCAAGAACCUCGUGCUCCUGGAGCGGCCGAUAUCUGAUUAGCUAGUUGGUGGGGUAAAGGCCUACCAAGGCAUCGAUCAGUAGCUGGUCUGAGAGGACGACCAGCCACACUGGAACUGAGACACGGUCCAGACUCCUACGGGAGGCAGCAGUGGGGAAUUUUGGACAAUGGGCGAAAGCCUGAUCCAGCAAUGCCGCGUGAGUGAAGAAGGCCUUCGGGUUGUAAAGCUCUUUUGUCAGGGAAGAAACGGUGAAGGCUAAUAUCCUUUGCUAAUGACGGUACCUGAAGAAUAAGCACCGGCUAACUACGUGCCAGCAGCCGCGGUAAUACGUAGGGUGCAAGCGUUAAUCGGAAUUACUGGGCGUAAAGCGUGCGCAGGCGGUUUUGUAAGUCUGUCGUGAAAUCCCCGGGCUCAACCUGGGAAUUGCGAUGGAGACUGCAAGGCUAGAAUCUGGCAGAGGGGGGUAGGAUUCCACGUGUAGCAGUGAAAUGCGUAGAGAUGUGGAGGAACACCGAUGGCGAANGCAGCCCCCUGGGUCAAGAUUGACGCUCAUGCACGAAAGCGUGGGGAGCAAACAGGAUUAGAUACCCUGGUAGUCCACGCCCUAAACGAUGUCUACUAGUUGUCGGGUUUUAAUUAACUUGGUAACGCAGCUAACGCGUGAAGUAGACCGCCUGGGGAGUACGGUCGCAAGAUUAAAACUCAAAGGAAUUGACGGGGANCNGCACAAGCGGUGGAUGAUGUGGAUCNAUUCGAUGCAACGCGAAAAANCNUUACCUACCCUUGACAUGUACGGAAGCCACGANANAUC